AAAUACUGUACUUAACAGAUAUGUACUUGUUUUAUAAAAAAUUUCAAAUAUUGACAUAAAAUGAAAUAUGAAAGAAACAGGCAUGACUGCAAUGUUUAUUUAACACUAAUGUUUUUACAAAGGAUAUGGCUACUGUAAUUAUAAUUGUAUAUUGAUAGUACUGACCUAUUGGGAGCUGCACACACCUCUCACCGCACUGUCUCAAUUGUGACUGCACAAACAAGUUGCCACGUAGCUAUGAGUCCAAUCGCAAUCAGCUGGCAAGUCUUACUACAGCUAAUCAGUGGAAUUUUGCUUAUCUGGAGGGUAAGCUGUGGAGAAAAAACU